UACGUAGGAGACGAGCGUUGUCCGGAGUACUGGGCGUAAAGGGUGCGCAGGUGGCGGCGCGCGUGGGGGGUGAAAUCGCCCCGGCUUAACUGGGCGGGGGCCUUCCAGACGGCGUGGCUUGAGCAGCGGAGGGGGACGUGGAAUUCCGGGUGUAGCGGUGGAAUGCGUAGAGAUCCGGAAGAACACCGGUGGCGAAGGCGGCCUGCUGGGCAGUGGCUGACGCUGAGGCGCGACAGCGUGGGGAGCAAACAGG
rnacentral:rRNA from 1 species